GUCCCUGAGUUACCUAGAGUACAGCAGCAGGAAGGACGAAGGAGUAGUGUGGCAGCUCCAGACAGGACAGGAAGUGAAGGCAGCAGAAUACAGGACGCAGUCAGGGUUAGUGUAAUAACUCCAGGGAAGACACAGACAGUGAGAGCAACAGCAGCAUUGCAGGAAGAUUUUGGAGACCAUAGCAGUCCUCUCCAACACUGGAUAUUGAGUGUGCAAUAUACCAUCUAAAGGAACCGGCGAGUCAGAAUGUCUGAGAAGAUCAAGUGUGCUUCUCCACUGAUGAUGAUGAGCUGGAUACCAGCUUAUGGGCUAAUUUCUUUCAUUCAUUGCCAGAGGACGGGACCAGAUGUGUUUGGAGUUGAAGACAAUGCUGAAGACCAAAGAAGCAACGGAAGAAGAACAUUUAAGCACUGAGGGUGUCCAGCCUGUUUGCCAUGACAGAUCCAGCGGCUAGAUGGCGGAAGAUGCUUCAAUACCCAAUUGCACUGAAUCAUUAGAUGAUCAAUUAAUUAAUAUUAAUAUAUAUUUUUAAAUUAUCUUAUUAUAUUAAAUAAUUGGUCUCAGUUUACUAUUUCAUAUAUUAGUUUGAAUAAUAAUGUUUUUAUAAUGUGUACGCCAUGCCUGAGGAGGAUGGGUUCCCCCUGAUGAGUCUGGUUCCUCUCAAGGUUUUUUAUCUCCUUAAGAGUUUUUUCCUUGCCACCGUCGCCACUGGCUUGCUCACUGGGGGUGUUGUGUCAAAUCCUGUGUCCCUCUCGCGUCCCUGCCGACCAGGGUUUCCAAAACAACAGUUUGCGACUCGAUGAAUUUUUUAUUAAUUAAAUCAUAGAAAUUUAAACGACUAAAAAUGAAAUCAUGUUAUGGCUUAGUCAC